UACGUAGGGUGCGAGCGUUGUCCGGAAUUAUUGGGCGUAAAGAGCUCGUAGGCGGCCUGUCGCGUCGGAUGUGAAAGCCCGGGGCUUAACCCCGGGUCUGCAUUCGAUACGGGCAGGCUAGAGUGUGGUAGGGGAGAUCGGAAUUCCUGGUGUAGCGGUGAAAUGCGCAGAUAUCAGGAGGAACACCGGUGGCGAAGGCGGCUUGCUGGGCCUUACCUGACGCUGAGGAGCGAAAGCGUGGGGAGCGAACAGG
rnacentral:rRNA from 1 species